UUGAAAGGGAAACGAUUGAAGUCAGUCGUACCAGCGGGAAUCAACCUUUCGAGUGGGGGUUUUGGAGUUUUGAAGAGUGUCAAAACCUUUGAGAUUUCAAAAAUUUCGCUCUUUUGGUGUACUUUCUCGUGGGUAGGUUAACAUCGAUUUUGAUCACCAUAAAAAGACUGGAGGAAUGUAGCUUCGAUCUUGUAUUGAAGUGUUAUAGCCUUUGGUAAAUGUGAUGAUUAGGAUCGAGGAUUGCAACGAAUACCCUUCUGGGCUAUCCGCCUGAUCUCUGAUACGUGGCCUUGGCAUCGAAAGCUUGCUUAUGGUAUCAAGGUAUUACGGUCAAAAGGUUAGAACGGAUUACAUUCGUUAAGGAUGUUGACGUA
rnacentral:rRNA from 1 species